rnacentral:rRNA from 1 species
UACACAUCGCCCGUCACACCAUGGGAGCGGGUUCUGCCAGAAGUAGUUAGCCUAACCGCAAGGAGGGCGAUUACCACGGCAGGGUUCGUGACUGGGGUG